rnacentral:lncRNA from 1 species
CCGCAAAAUGAGCUCUAGAACAUGUGCAUCUUCUUCAUCUUCCUGCUGUUACUCCUAUAUCACAAAUGGUGCAGCUGAUAGGCAAGCUUUCAAAAGCCGAAUGCACUUCGUUCGUAAGGGUGUCAACGGAGUUUUCAGAGGAGCCAACUCCGAAAACUUACAGCUCAUGAUAUUCGUUUUCUAGAAAGCGAUUGGAGCAGAAUUGAAGAUGAUGAGAGCAGUGUAGUGAUUUUCUGGGCUUGGUUCAAAUCUAACGGAAGUUUUCUUGUGUGCUGGUACCACGGCAGUCAUCGUAGACACGAUGUGGCAUUUACAGCUUUACUUUCAGAGCCACCGAGUCAGCUUGAAUCUAGAACUCAACAAGAAGCGUUUCUUAUGUGGUGAUAAGCCACAGUUCCAAGUCCCAGGACAUGCUGCAACCUAAUUGUUUGUUAAUUCUCCAGUGAAAGUGUCCAUGUCUAGUUGUACCACGAGAAGGCAGUUCUGAAGGUUGUAAUGCCACUGCCAGUAGCCAUUGAUGUCUUAUAAGCCAAUGGACCACCUUCAUCAAAUCGAAGUCUCUCACCAUGAUUUAAAAGAGAUUUCUUCUGAGGAACAAGAACGAGGUAAGUAAUCUUGAAGCUUUGUAUCAUUUCGAGUGACGUUUUCUGCACACUUUGCCACUAAGUUGGUGUUGUCGGCAGGUUUUCGAAGUACUCAAUUUUGGUCGAUUGCCUUCAUCAAGGACUAACAGAUGUGUUUAGUGCCAUUCUCUACUGUUAAAGGGCCUAGAUCUCUUCUACACUACCCACCUUUAAUUUCUUUUUUUGAAGCACAGGUGGGGAAAUGAGAUGCAGCUUGUUGCUAGUCGUAAUUUUUGUGCAGGUUGUUGUGCUAAUAGUAGAUCGCAAUCUAUGAUUGCUACCAUCAAAUUUCUACCUUUUAUUGCUCUCGGUUUGUACUUAGUACACAAAGACAGACAAUCCUCUUAGUCUUUGAAUACAUGCCUCAACAUGCAAUGUACUUGAACCCAAGUUUCUUGAUGGGCCUUGAUGGCCGUAGUGUGAUGCUUUUCCUGCUGCUUAGAUGUUUCAAACAGUCUCUAUUAGCAGCUCGCACAAUCAUCCUCAAUCCAGAUCUCUUCAUUUCAUGAUUUUUUCAAUCUGCUAAAACAACUCUUCAGCCACUCAUCGUUUUUUUUGUUGAAAAGUUCAUCUACCUCUUACAAUCAUGCAUAAAUUAGAACUAACUCUACCUGCUUCUACUAUCAACUUCAAUAUUAUCACCACUUCCAAUUAUAUUUUUGGUUUCAUUUUUUUUCAGUUUUUCAGUUUUUUUUUUUUUUUUUUUUUUUUUUAAAAAUAUUAUUGAUUUUUCAUCCUGUUUUUCUCUAAAAUCCAUCCACUUUCUAUUGAUUUUUUU